AACGCUGGCGGCGCGCUUAACACAUGCAAGUCGAGCGAGAACCAUGGCUUCGGCCAUGGGGACAGCGGCGAACGGGUGAGUAACACGUGGGUAAGCAACCCUCGACACUGGGAUAGCCCGGGGAAACUCGGAUUAAUACCGGAUACCCCAUCUGGCCUUCGGGCCGGCUGGAAAAGGUAGCUUUGGCCUCCGGUCGAGGACGAGCCCGCGGAGGAUUAGCUUGUUGGCGGGGUAAAAGCCCACCAAGGCGACGAUCCGUAGCUGGUCUGAGAGGACGCUCAGCCACACUGGGACUGAGACACGGCCCAGACUCCUACGGGAGGCAGCAGUGGGGAAUCUUGCGCAAUGGGCGAAAGCCUGACGCAGCGACGCCGCGUGAGGGAAGAAGGCCUUCGGGUUGUAAACCUCUUUCAGGAGGGACGAAGCCACUCGGGUUAAUAGCCCAGAGGGUGACGGUACCUCCAGAAGAAGCCCCGGCUAACUACGUGCCAGCAGCCGCCGUAAGAC
rnacentral:rRNA from 1 species